AUGUGGACUCAUCUUCGUCAGCGCUAUCAACCCUCUCGUGAUGCUCUCUACUUGUCUGUGGUACGUCAGGAGCAUGCUCUUCAGCAGGGAGACUCCACUAUUGAUGAGUUCUACACUCAGAGUUCUGCUAUCUGGCGCCAGCUUGACUCCCUUCGCACUCCUGUUUGUGGCACUUGCGCAUGUUGCCAGAUUGUGAGGUCCGGCUUGGAGUUUCAACGUGUCUAUGAGUUUCUGUCGCGGCUUCGUGGGGAGUUUGAGCCUCGCCGUGCUCAGUUGUUUGCUCGUGGUUGUGUUCCUAUUUCUGAGGCACUUUCUGAGCUUCGUGCUGAGGAGACUCGCCGUGGUGCUGGGUUGCUUCAGGUUCCCUCUGUGCUUGCUGCUCCAGCUGCUCCCCCAGUGCGUUCUCGCUCCAGUGCUCCGCCGCUACUGCCCACUCAUGGUUAGGGUCGCUCUCGUCCUCGUCCUCAUUGUGGCUACUGCAACAGGGAUGGUCACCCUGAGGCUGAGUGCUUUCAGAAGAAACGUGAUAUGCGUAAUAGGGAGCGCAAUUCUGCUUCUGGGACAAGUGCUUCUUCCUCGACAUCGUCUACUGUCUCCUUCACUGAGCAGGAAAUUGUGAAGCUUAAGCGUCUACUUGCUGCUUCAGGUUCUUCAACAGGUACUGCAGGCUCUGUGACUGGCGCUUCUAGUGCUGAGCGACCACCAUUUACACAGUCAGGUACAUCCCCAUGGGUUCUGGAUUCUGGAGCUUCAUUUCAUAUGUCUUCUAAUUCUUAUGUCUUGUCCUCUCUUAGAUCUCUCGAUUUUCCUAUUAAUGUUCUAACUGCUGAUGAUACUCCUCUCCCUGUUGCCAGCAAAGGCACUCUUGCCACUUCUUCCUUUUAUGUUCCAGAUGUUUCUCAUGUUCCUCGCCUUACCAUGAACCUAUUUUCCGCAAGUCAGCUUGCUGAUUCUGGUUGUUGUGUCAUUCUUGACGUUGAUUCUUGUACUAUUUAG
rnacentral:rRNA from 1 species